UACGAAGGGGGCUAGCGUUGUUCGGAAUCACUGGGCGUAAAGGGCGCGUAGGCGGCCGAUCAAGUCGGGGGUGAAAGCCUGUGGCUCAACCACAGAAUUGCCUUCGAUACUGUUUGGCUUGAGACCGGAAGAGGUUAGUGGAACUGCGAGUGUAGAGGUGAAAUUCGUAGAUAUCCGCAAGAACACCAGUGGCGAAGGCGGCUGACUGGUCCGGUUCUGACGCUGAGGCGCGAAAGCGUGGGGAGCAAACAGG
rnacentral:rRNA from 1 species